GACGAACGCUGGCGGCGUGCUUAACACAUGCAAGUCGAACGGAAAGGCCCUGCUUUUGUGGGGUGCUCGAGUGGCGAACGGGUGAGUAACACGUGAGUAACCUGCCCUUGACUUUGGGAUAACUUCAGGAAACUGGGGCUAAUACCGGAUAGGAGCUCCUGCUGCAUGGUGGGGGUUGGAAAGUUUCGGCGGUUGGGGAUGGACUCGCGGCUUAUCAGCUUGUUGGUGGGGUAGUGGCUUACCAAGGCUUUGACGGGUAGCCGGCCUGAGAGGGUGACCGGCCACAUUGGGACUGAGAUACGGCCCAGACUCCUACGGGAGGCAGCAGUGGAGAAUAUUGCACAAGGGACGGAAGCCAGAUGCAGCAACGCCGCGUGCGGGAUGACGGCCUUCGGGUUGUAAACCGCUUUCGCCUGUGACGAAGCGUGAGUGACGGUAAUGGGUAAAGAAGCACCGGCUAACUACGUG
rnacentral:rRNA from 1 species